rnacentral:rRNA from 1 species
CGCGGCCUAUCAGCUUGUUGGUGAGGUAAUGGCUCACCAAGGCGACGACGGGUAGCCGGCCUGAGAGGGCGAUCGGCCACACUGGGACUGAGACACGGCCCAGACUCCUACGGGAGGCAGCAGUGGGGAAUAUUGCACAAUGGGCGCAAGCCUGAUGCAGCGACGCCGCGUGAGGGAUGAAGGCCUUCGGGUUGUAAACCUCUUUCAGCAGGGAAGAAGCGAAAGUGACGGUACCUGCAGAAGAAGCACCGGCUAACUACGUGCCAGCAGCCGCGGUAAUACGUAGGGUGCAAGCGUUGUCCGGAAUUAUUGGGCGUAAAGAGCUUGUAGGCGGUUUGUCGCGUCUGCUGUGAAAUUUCGGGGCUCAACCCCGAACUUGCAGUGGGUACGGGCAGACUAGAGUGUGGUAGGGGAGACUGGAAUUCCUGGUGUAGCGGUGAAAUGCGCAGAUAUCAGGAGGAACACCGAUGGCGAAGGCAGGUCUCUGGGCCACUACUGACGCUGAGAAGCGAAAGCAUGGGGAGCGAACAGGAUUAGAUACCCUGGUAGUCCAUGCCGUAAACGGUGGGAACUAGGUGUGGGCCUCAUUCCACGAGGUCCGUGCCGCAGCUAACGCAUUAAGUUCCCCGCCUGGGGAGUACGG